AUUGAACGCUGGCGGCAUGCCUUACACAUGCAAGUCGAACGGCAGCACGGGUGCUUGCACCUGGUGGCGAGUGGCGAACGGGUGAGUAAUACAUCGGAACAUGUCCUGUAGUGGGGGAUAGCCCGGCGAAAGCCGGAUUAAUACCGCAUACGAUCUACGGAUGAAAGCGGGGGACCUUCGGGCCUCGCGCUAUAGGGUUGGCCGAUGGCUGAUUAGCUAGUUGGGGGGGUAAAGGCCUACCAAGGCGACGAGCAGUAGCUGGUCUGAGAGGACGACCAGGCACCACGGGACCGGGGACCGGGCCAGACUCCUACGGGAGGCAGCAGUGGGGAAUUUUGGACAAUGGGCGAAAGCCUGAUCCAGCAAUGCCGCGUGUGUGAAGAAGGCCUUCGGGUUGUAAAGCACUUUUGUCCGGAAAGAAAUCCUUGGCCCUAAUACGGUCGGGGGAUGACGGUACCGGAAGAAUAAGCACCGGCUAACUACGUG
rnacentral:rRNA from 1 species